rnacentral:rRNA from 1 species
GUAAGGAAUAUUGGACAAUGGACGCAAGUCUGAUCCAGCCAUGCCGCGUGAAGGAUUAAGGUCCUCUGGAUUGUAAACUUCUUUUAUAAGGGACGAAAAAAGGCUUUUCUAAGUCGUCUGACGGUACCUUAUGAAUAAGCACCGGCUAACUCCGUGCCAGCAGCCGCGGUAAUACGGAGGGUGCAAGCGUUAUCCGGAUUCACUGGGUUUAAAGGGUGCGUAGGCGGGCAGGUAAGUCAGUGGUGAAAUCCUAGAGCUUAACUCUAGAACUGCCAUUGAUACUAUCUGUAUUGAAUAUUGUGGAGGUAAGCGGAAUAUGUCAUGUAGCGGUGAAAUGCUUAGAUAUGACAUAGAACACCUAUUGCGAAGGCAGCUUACUACGCAUAUAUUGACGCUGAGGCACGAAAGCGUGGGGAUCAAACAGGAUUAGAUACCCGGGUAGUCC